rnacentral:lncRNA from 1 species
UUUCUUGGUUGGAGUCAUUUUUCACUAUAUGGAUGUAUAGAGGGGAAAAAACUUCUCUUGCCUUUGGCCCUCUUGAAAUAGCUUCUCUUCCUCUUUCCUAGGGUGCAAUGAGGGAACAUUCCUCAAGAGCUGUCCCACUGACCCACUGACUGACCCACUCCAAGGGUCUGGAUCACUUGAGCAAAACCUGCUUGGAGAUUGGUCUCACUUUGUACUAAAUGUGUUUCCAGUCCUGACCCUUGGAGACUGAGGCUUCCAGGAUCACAUAGUCCACUGCUGAAGUUACCUCUGCACCAGGGUCCACCUGCCUCUUCAGGUGAUGGAGUAAACCAGUUGGCUUUUGGGCAGUUUUCCUAGAAAUGCAGAGAAUUCCCCAGGAGAAGGAUCCCGAGGAGAAUUGGUGCCUCCAAAAUGGGAGCUUCUAUGCCAAGGCUGCUGCUGACUCAAGUGCCUGACACACAGGAAACAGUUAAUAAACAUAUGUGAAACUGACA